rnacentral:rRNA from 1 species
UAAUACGGAGGGUGCGAGCGUUGUCCGGAAUCACUGGGCGUAAAGGGCGCGUAGGCGGCCUGAUAAGUAGGGGGUGAAAUCCUGCGGCUUAACCGCAGGGCUGCCUUCUAAACUGUCAGGCUCGAGCACAGUAGAGGCAGGUGGAAUUCCCGGUGUAGCGGUGGAAUGCGUAGAGAUCGGGAAGAACAUCAGUGGCGAAGGCGGCCUGCUGGGCUGUUGCUGACGCUGAGGCGCGACAGCGUGGGGAGCAAACAGGAUUAGAUACCCUGGUAGUCCACGCCGUAAACGAUGGGCACUAGGCGUCGGGGGGAGCGACCCUCCCGGUGCCGUCGCUAACGCAGUAAGUGCCCCGCCUGGGGAGUACGGCCGCAAGGCUG